rnacentral:misc_RNA from 1 species
UACAGAGACCUCAAGCGUUAUCCGGAUUUAUUGGGCGUAAAGAGUGCGUAGGCGGUUUUUUAAGUUGGUGGUCAAAUCCCGGGGCUCAACCCUGGAACCGCUACCAAAACUGAAAAACUAGAGGCUGGAAGAGGCAAACGGAAUUACUGGUGUAGGGGUAGAAUCCGUUGAUAUCAGUAGGAACACCAAAUGCGAAGGCAGUUUGCUGGGACAGUUCUGACGCUGUUGCACGAAAGCGUGGGGAGCAAAGAGG